UGUUGGCGUGCCUAAUACAUGCAAGUCGAACGCUUCUUUUUCCACCGGAGCUUGCUCCACCGGAAAAAGAGGAGUGGCGAACGGGUGAGUAACACGUGGGUAACCUGCCCAUCAGAAGGGGAUAACACUUGGAAGCAGGUGCUAAUACCGUAUAACAAUCGAAACCGCAUGGUUUUGAUUUGAAAGGCGCUUUCGGGUGUCGCUGAUGGAUGGACCGCGGUGCAUUAGCUAGUUGGUGAGGUAACGGCUCACCAAGGCCACGAUGCAUAGCCGACCUGAGAGGGUGAUCGGCCACAUUGGGACUGAGACACGGCCCAAACUCCUACGGGAGGCAGCAGUAGGGAAUCUUCGGCAAUGGACGAAAGUCUGACCGAGCAACGCCGCGUGAGUGAAGAAGGUUUUCGGAUCGUAAAACUCUGUUGUUAGAGAAGAACAAGGGUGAGAGUAACUGUUCAUCCCUUGACGGUAUCUAACCAGAAAGCCACGGCUAACUACGUGCCAGCAGCCGCGGUAAUACGUAGGUGGCAAGCGUUGUCCGGAUUUAUUGGGCGUAAAGCGAGCGCAGGCGGUUUCUUAAGUCUGAUGUGAAAGCCCCCGGCUCAACCGGGGAGGGUCAUUGGAAACUGGGAGACUUGAGUGCAGAAGAGGAGAGUGGAAUUCCAUGUGUAGCGGUGAAAUGCGUAGAUAUAUGGAGGAACACCAGUGGCGAAGGCGGCUCUCUGGUCUGUAACUGACGCUGAGGCUCGAAAGCGUGGGGAGCAAACAGGAUUAGAUACCCUGGUAGUCCACGCCGUAAACGAUGAGUGCUAAGUGUUGGAGGGUUUCCGCCCUUCAGUGCUGCAGCUAACGCAUUAAGCACUCCGCCUGGGGAGUACGACCGCAAGGUUGAAACUCAAAGGAAUUGACGGGGGCCCGCACAAGCGGUGGAGCAUGUGGUUUAAUUCGAAGCAACGCGAAGAACCUUACCAGGUCUUGACAUCCUUUGACCACUCUAGAGAUAGAGCUUCCCCUUCGGGGGCAAAGUGACAGGUGGUGCAUGGUUGUCGUCAGCUCGUGUCGUGAGAUGUUGGGUUAAGUCCCGCAACGAGCGCAACCCUUAUUGUUAGUUGCCAUCAUUCAGUUGGGCACUCUAGCAAGACUGCCGGUGACAAACCGGAGGAAGGUGGGGAUGACGUCAAAUCAUCAUGCCCCUUAUGACCUGGGCUACACACGUGCUACAAUGGGAAGUACAACGAGUCGCGAAGUCGCGAGGCUAAGCUAAUCUCUUAAAGCUUCUCUCAGUUCGGAUUGCAGGCUGCAACUCGCCUGCAUAAAGCCGGAAUCGCUAGUAAUCGCGGAUCAGCACGCCGCGGUGAAUACGUUCCCGGGCCUUGUACACACCGCCCGUCACACCACGAGAGUUUGUAACACCCGAAGUCGGUGAGGUAACCUUUUGGAGCCAGCCGCCUAAGGUGGGAUAGAUGAUUGG
rnacentral:rRNA from 1 species